ACAGAUGUUUACCUCUCCUUCACUGACACACAGAUGUUUACCUCUCCUUCACUGACACACAGAUGUUUACCUCUCCUUCACUGACACACAGAUGUUUACCUCUCCUUCUCUGACGCACAUUAGAUGUUUAUCUCUCCUUCACUGACGCACAUUAGAUGUUUACCUCUCCUUCUCUGACGCACAUUAGAGGUUUACCCCUCCUUCUCUGACGCACAUUAGAGGUUUACCCCUCCUUCUCUGACGCACAUUAGAGGUUUACCCCUCCUUCUCUGACGCACAUUAGAGGUUUACCCCUCCUUCUCUGACGCACAUUAGAGGUUUACCCCUCCUUCUCUGACGCACAUUAGAGGUUUACCCCUCCUUCUCUGACGCACAUUAGAGGUUUACCCCUCCUUCUCUGACGCACAUUAGAGGUUUACCCCUCCUUCUCUGACGCACAUUAGAGGUUUACCCCUCCUUCUCUGACGCACAUUAGAGGUUUACCCCUCCUUCUCUGACGCACAUUAGAGGUUUACCCCUCCUUCUCUGACGCACAUUAGAGGUUUACCCCUCCUUCUCUGACGCACAUUAGAGGUUUACCCCUCCUUCUCUGACGCACAUUAGAGGUUUACCCCUCCUUCUCUGACGCACAUUAGAGGUUUACCCCUCCUUCUCUGACGCACAUUAGAGGUUUACCCCUCCUUCUCUGGCGCACAUUAGAGGUUUACCCCUCCUUAAAAAUCAGCAAACAUUCCAUGUUAAAUGUGUGUUUGAUUUGACCAUGGGUUGUUGGGUACUAUUUUUAUCAGAUUUAUAUAAUUAAUAUUUCCAGUUUGUUGUCAGAACUGGUUAUGUAAGAGUCAGCUCUGAAAGAAAACAAACUAAGCAAGUUAAAAACCCAAGCACAAAGUGCCGAUCUGCUUUUUGACCAUUCCCCCCCAGGGUAUCCCAACAAUUGCCAACCGCCUUUACAUUUUACAGCCAUAGUGAAAGUGGCUAUUGAGAUUGCAGGUACUGUUUUUGAAGGGUUAUUUUAUAGAGGACAUUAUGUUCCCAGGGUGCUGAUUGUCUUGCUGACAUCUGGGAUUUCAGAGCUUGGGUGAUUUACUGUGGUGAGUCUCACCCUGGGUGUGGAGGAGGAGUGGGGAGUUGAGGGGAGGCAUUUCCCACAAAGGUGUUUGAAGUGAAGGGUUUUUGUGUGGCGUGAGCCUUGUACUCCAGGGCUGCCUGUUGCAGCUUUACUGUGGUGUACUGUAGCAGACACCUUGGCCUUGAUGGCACUCAGCUGUGAGAGACCCAGGUGGAUAGGUCUUCAGUCCAUCCAGGGGCCACCUUAUCCUGUCAUAGACACAUGCAGGAAGAUACCUCCAAUGCUCUCACAGACCUGUGUAUCUGACAUAGGCUUUACACACUCCUGGACUCUCCCAUCCCAACAGAUUUCGGGUAGGUGUUUGUCUGAUGAAAGACCAGGCAGGUGCUGAGGGGGAGUGUAACUGUGAUUUUAUGGUGUGGGCAUGCUUCAUGAGGUUACACAGCCUGUUAAUUAACCUCCGCCAAGAACAGGGCUUUAAAGAUGGUCGCUUUAUGUCCUUCUGCAUGAAUGAACUCAAUGUAUACACACACAAUCGAGCAUAGCAAUAAAACGGCAAACAUGCUGCCAUUGCAGCCACCUCAUCUGACCCGUGAGGUCAGAGCUUGCCCUGUCUAACUGCAUAAAGGAUCAAAAAAGGUGUGGGUAACACUCCGUAAAGAGGUGGAGAGACAUUGUAAGAGGAAGGGACGUCUUGAGAGCAGGUCUGAGUCCUCACAUUGUGUUUUGAUUUCUUGUUCUGUAAGAUCCUGUUCAUUUGUCCAGUCUGGUCAGCUGUGUAACUGGCUCCUUGUUGAACUGGUGUCCAGCAGCCUUCUCUUUUUGCCACUUCAUCGCUCGGCUGGACAAA